GCAAACAUUUUGCAAAACUGCAAGUUGCUGACCAACAAUCAACUGCCAACUGCAGACUAUCUAUUUAUGGACACUCAAGCCCUGUUGCACGUUGAAA